GGAGAUUCCGGUUCUACUUGUUGAAGAGAUGUCAUAAAGAUUGUUAUACAUUAGGGACUACAGCCUCGUUCCUCCUGGUAAACAUGGGUCUGUGAGUAUUUGGGGGAUUUUGUUCCAGAAGAAACCUUAACAUUCAACAUGUGACUCCACGAGGCUCCUUAGUUCUGAACACAUGUGACCAGUGACUUGAAAGUGGGUGAGAGCCUCGAGGCCUGGCUGUGAGGCUACAGGGCAACAAUUUCCUUGCCUGCUGAAAUAAGAAAUAAGAAAAUAAGAAAUAAGAAAGCAGACUUUUCUGCACAAGCCAACGUUGCCAAACAGGGAUAUAACAUCAACACUCGCUCACAGCACCAAGCUACCCCUUUGGAGGAAGUCCAGAGAAAUGUAACAGAAGAAGAAGAAGAAGAAGAAGAAGAAGAAGAAGAAGAAGAAGAAGAACCCAACAGCCCCCAGAUGUAGGACCAUCUUCCCAGAGGUAUAAAAUGAGGCUUCAAAGCUGAUACAAAUUCAAGAAUCUAUGAGCCAAGGAUCUAUGAUCUCUGUAGUUUGUAUGAAAGGGUCCUGGUUAUUAAUUACUUGAAAGAAGGUCUUGAAGGCACCAACGACACGGCUUAAAUUAAAUUUUGGUCUUAGAUUCUCUUGAAAGUUGUC
rnacentral:lncRNA from 1 species